GACGAACGCUGGCGGCGUGCUUAACACAUGCAAGUCGAACGGUGAAGGUGGGAGCUUGCUCCUGCUGGAUCAGUGGCGAACGGGUGAGUAACACGUGAGUAACCUGCCCUUGACUCUGGGAUAAGCGUUGGAAACGACGUCUAAUACCGGAUACGAGCUCCAGCCGCAUGGCUAGGAGUUGGAAAGAUUUUUCGGUCAAGGAUGGACUCGCGGCCUAUCAGCUUGUUGGUGAGGUAAUGGCUCACCAAGGCGACGACGGGUAGCCGGCCUGAGAGGGUGACCGGCCACACUGGGACUGAGACACGGCCCAGACUCCUACGGGAGGCAGCAGUGGGGAAUAUUGCACAAUGGGCGCAAGCCUGAUGCAGCAACGCCGCGUGAGGGACGACGGCCUUCGGGUUGUAAACCUCUUUUAGCAGGGAAGAAGCGCAAGUGACGGUACCUGCAGAAAAAGCACCGGCUAACUACGUGCCAGCCGCCGCCGUACGAC
rnacentral:rRNA from 1 species